rnacentral:rRNA from 1 species
UACGAAGGGGGCUAGCGUUGUUCGGAAUUACUGGGCGUAAAGCGCGCGCAGGCGGUCUUCCAAGUCAGUGGUGAAAGCCCGGAGCUCAACUCCGGAACUGCCAUUGAAACUGUGAGACUUGAGGAUGAGAGAGGUGAGUGGAAUUCCCAGUGUAGAGGUGAAAUUCGUAGAUAUUGGGAAGAACACCGGUGGCGAAGGCGGCUCACUGGCUCAUUUCUGACGCUCAGGCGCGACAGCGUGGGGAGCGAACAGG